rnacentral:rRNA from 1 species
UCCCUACGGGGGGCAGCAGUGAGGAAUAUUGGUCAAUGGUCGGGAGACUGAACCAGCCAAGCCGCGUGAGGGAUGAAGGUACAGAGUAUCGUAAACCUCUUUUGUCAGGGAACAAAGGCGGGGACGUGUCCCCGGAUGAGUGUACCUGAAGAAAAAGCAUCGGCUAACUCCGUGCCAGCAGCCGCGGUAAUACGGAGGAUGCGAGCGUUAUCCGGAUUUAUUGGGUUUAAAGGGUGCGUAGGCGGACGCUUAAGUCAGCGGUAAAAUUGCGGGGCUCAACCUCGGCGAGCCGUUGAAACUGGGUG